CAGCAUAGCAAAACAUUUUGUUACUGCAAAGUCCAAUCUCAAACACAGAUUUUGUCUGAGAUCUAGAACUCAAAGCAUUGAACAUAUCAAAAAAUACAAAACAGGUGAAGGUCAUGGUUGUAUCUCGAGGUGUUAUUACGUUGUCUCUUAGCUCUCUCCAGAAGACGAACAGUGUUCCACACACAAUAAUUAUCGAUGACACCAGUAUUUUAACAAUCAGGUUUUUGGUCAGAAUGCUAUCCUUCAAAUUUCUUGGAGGCUUCUGAAUAACAUCUUU
rnacentral:lncRNA from 1 species